CUGUGUUCCCACCUCAACCACGCCGCUGCAUUCAAAGCUUGCCAGCCCUGCCGCCUUGUUGCGCAUGCCAUCAACGCCGCGUCGCAUCAGCGCCACCGCUGCGGCAAGCCGACGCUCGCAAGCUACCGCUCAGCCACAGCGCCGCCAUUCCUAGCAAGCGGGUGAGCCGUUGGCACAGCACUGCCCUCGCCGCCUGUAAAAGCCACCCCUAGCUGCUCUCCGUCGCCAUCCCGAGCUCGCUGAGCCGCCUCGCUUCGCCGGUCAUCUCCCUCCUCACUCCAAUUUCUCCCUCCUCUGUUCUUGCACUCUCCCUCGUCGAUCUCCAACGACAAGCCACCACAGCUCAAUUAGUUCGUCGCCGAUGGAGUGACUGAGGAGGAGAACCAGUUUAGAGGCUAGUACUGCGAGCCAGAGUACAAAGGCCAGGACCACAAGCUGGAGCCGGAAGACCCGUACCACGAGCAGGAGCUUCCAGAAGGCUUUGAAGACGGCAAAUCCAACCUAUUCCCUUUUGGUCAUAUUUAUCCCAGUUUUCAAAUACAACCCGUAGAAGCCUUUUUAUAAAUUGCAUCUAGCUAUAUUUAUUUUCUCAGAUUAUUUUACUACUUGAUAUAGUUAAAACUAGGUUGGAUAGCCACUCCUUAAAUUCAUAUAUCUUGAUUAUACCUUGAUGACUUAGGAUUUUUUGCUAGACAUGAUACGCUCUAUUUCGCUAGACAUGAUGACUUGGGGGAGCUUCAUUCUUCCAACGUGAACUAUCACCUUACACCUUCACGUGCCAUACUCCUCGUAUUCUCUCGUUGAAUACUAUGGUUGACCAUAAAUUCUAAACCUAUCCAUGCAGGCAUCCAUCAGCUUGGGAAAACCUUCCUCAUGCAAGCAAUGGCUACGAGUCCAACCUUCUUCGGCCAUCUGAGACAGAGGAAAGUGAGGUAAAUCCUUUUGCAAUAGAUAAGAGAGGUUAAGAAUUUUUGUAAAGUAGUUUUUCUAGUAAAAUACAUGGUCCCAAAACCUAAGGGUCGUGUCCUAUAGCCAACUACAGCUCUGAUACCCCAUGAAGUGCUCUCAUUUGCACAGGGACUAAAUGUGAUAUAAAUGCCAGUCCCAGAAAGGCUGGUACACACAUUUAUUCAACAGAUAGUUCAAAAGUCAUACAACUCUCUAGGGGGCGGUCGGGUAACAUAGACCCAAAAGAGAUACAACACAAACAGGCUGUAGAUGCAACCUAUGGACAUCCUAGUCCAUAAACAGCACGCAACACUGCAUGACAGCGGAAACAUCCUUAAGAGCCCAAUGCCACAGGUAAGUUGGGUGCAGAGGCGACCUUCUACUCGAAAGCUUCACCAGCAACGCAGUCCGGGUCUUCCUUUGUAUCAACAAAGCAAGGGGCUUACCCAGCACUACAUUGCCAGAGGAGGGAUUUAUAACCCCGAGAGACAGGAAGAAAUGGUUGUACGCACAAACUUUCCAUGCCACAAGCAACCAUCUAGUUCUGUACAUUGCAGGUAUUACGUGUGCAAGCACAGCAGGGUGCUCGGAAGAUACACAACUAAUCCUGAACGUGCCUCGACUACACAGUUCACGUCUCCAUGAGCAACAACUUCUAAAUACAAACGCCAAUUUAUGUCGUUUCAUUUUGCGUGAAGUGGUAAACCCGAUGGGUAUCUUUUAUUACACUGAAUAUGAAUUAGCACAAGAUGAUAAAUACAUUAGCCUCCAUGAGUGGGAGAAUCAAGUGUACCGCCAGGGCUAGCCUUCGUGAGUGGCAGAAAAACAUGUUGUCAAU